ACCUACGGGAGGCAGCAGUGAGGAAUAUUGGUCAAUGGUCGGGAGACUGAACCAGCCAAGCCGCGUGAGGGAUGAAGGUACAGAGUAUCGUAAACCUCUUUUGUCAGGUAACAAAGGCGGGGACGCGUCCCCGGAUGAGUGUACCUGAAGAAAAAGCAUCGGCUAACUCCGUGCCAGCAGCCGCGGUAAUACGGAGGAUGCGAGCGUUAUCCGGAUUUAUUGGGUUUAAAGGGUGCGCAGGCGGUCUGUUAAGUCAGCGGUCAAAGCCCGGGGCUCAACCCCGGCCCGCCGUUGAAACUGGCAGG
rnacentral:rRNA from 1 species